rnacentral:rRNA from 1 species
AGGUAAGCUACUAAGAGCGAAUGGUGGAUGCCUUGACUGGUAAAGGCGAUGAAGGACGUACUAGACUGCGAUAAGCUACGGGGAGCUGUCAAGAAGCUUUGAUCCGUAGAUUUCCGAAUGGGGCAACCCAAUGUAUAGAGAUAUACAUUACCUAUAUAGGAGCGAACGAGGGGAAUUGAAACAUCUUAGUACCCUCAGGAAAAGAAAUCAAUAGAGAUUGCGUCAGUAGCGGCGAGCGAAAGCGCAAGAGGGCAAACCCAGUGCUUGCACUGGGGGUUGUAGGACUGCAAUGUGCAAGAGGUGAGUUUAGCAGAACAUUCUGGAAAGUAUAGCCAUAGAGGGUGAUAGUCCCGUAUGCGAAAAACAAACCUUAGCUAGCAGUAUCCUGAGUAGGGCGGGACACGAGAAAUCCUGUCUGAAGCUGGGUCGACCACGAUCCAACCCUAAAUACUAAUACCAGAUCGAUAGUGCACAAGUACCGUGAGGGAAAGGUGAAAAGAACUGAGGUGAUCAGAGUGAAAUAGAACCUGAAACCAUUUGCUUACAAUCAUUCAGAGCCCUAUGUAGCAAUACAGGGUGAUGGACUGCCUUUUGCAUAAUGAGCCUGCGAGUUGUGGUGUCUGGCAAGGUUAAGCAAACGCGAAGCCGUAGCGAAAGCGAGUCUGAAUAGGGCGCUUAGUCAGAUGCUGCAGACCCGAAACGAAGUGAUCUAUCCAUGAGCAAGUUGAAGCUAGUGUAAGAACUAGUGGAGGACUGAACCCAUAGGCGUUGAAAAGCCCCGGGAUGACUUGUGGAUAGGGGUGAAAGGCCAAUCAAACUUCGUGAUAGCUGGUUCUCUCCGAAAUAUAUUUAGGUAUAGCGUUGUGUCGUAAUAUAAGGGGGUAGAGCACUGAAUGGGCUAGGGCAUACACCAAUGUACCAAACCCUAUCAAACUCCGAAUACCUUAUAUGUAAUCACAGCAGUCAGGCGGCGAGUGAUAAAAUCCGUCGUCAAGAGGGAAACAACCCAGACUACCAGCUAAGGUCCCUAAAUCUUACUUAAGUGGAAAACGAUGUGAAGUUACUUAAACAACCAGGAGGUUGGCUUAGAAGCAGCCAUCCUUUAAAGAAAGCGUAAUAGCUCACUGGUCUAGUGAUUUUGCGCGGAAAAUAUAACGGGGCUAAAGUAAGUACCGAAGCUGUAGACUUAGUUUACUAAGUGGUAGGAGAGCGUUCUAUUUGCGUCGAAGGUAUACCGGUAAGGAGUGCUGGAGCGAAUAGAAGUGAGCAUGCAGGCAUGAGUAGCGAUAAUUAAUGUGAGAAUCAUUAACGCCGUAAACCCAAGGUUUCCUACGCGAUGCUCGUCAUCGUAGGGUUAGUCGGGUCCUAAGUCGAGUCCGAAAGGGGUAGACGAUGGCAAAUUGGUUAAUAUUCCAAUACCAACAUUAGUGUGCGAUGGAAGGACGCUUAGGGCUAAGGGGGCUAGCGGAUGGAAGUGCUAGUCUAAGGUCGUAGGAGGUUAUACAGGCAAAUCCGUAUAACAAUACUCCGAGAACUGAAAGGCUUUUUGAAGUCUUCGGAUGGAUAGAAGAACCCCUGAUGCCGUCGAGCCAAGAAAAGUUUCUAAGUUUAGCUAAUGUUGCCCGUACCGUAAACCGACACAGGUGGGUGGGAUGAGUAUUCUAAGGCGCGUGGAAGAACUCUCUUUAAGGAACUCUGCAAAAUAGCACCGUAUCUUCGGUAUAAGGUGUGGUUCGCUUCGUAUUAGGAUUUACUCCGAAAGCGAAGAAACUUACAACAAAGAGUCCCUCCCGACUGUUUACCAAAAACACAGCACUCUGCUAACUCGUAAGAGGAUGUAUAGGGUGUGACGCCUGC